GAUUAGCUCAGCUGGUCAGAGCAUGGUGCUAAUAAAGCCAAGGUUGGGGGUACUAUCCCCUUAUAAGCCG
rnacentral:tRNA from 1 species